GGCUGAGACUCGAACUGUAGCCUUAAUGGCGUGCGUGCCCUAGCGGGAUAGAGUCUCAGUUUUUU
rnacentral:sRNA from 12 species